AGAGUUUGAUCCUGGCUCAGGAUGAACGCUAGCGGCAGGCUUAACACAUGCAAGUCGAGGGGCAGCGGGGAGGAAGCUUGCUUUCUCCGCCGGCGACCGGCGCACGGGUGAGUAACACGUAUGCAACCUGCCCCUGUCAGGGGGACAACCCGCCGAAAGGCGGGCUAAACCCGCGUACAUGCCACCGGGGCAUCCCGGAGGCAGGAAAGGCUUCAGCCGGACAGGGAUGGGCAUGCGGCGCAUUAGGCAGUAGGCGGGGUAACGGCCCACCUAACCGACGAUGCGUAGGGGUUCUGAGAGGAAGGUCCCCCACACUGGUACUGAGACACGGACCAGACUCCUACGGGAGGCAGCAGUGAGGAAUAUUGGUCAAUGGUCGGGAGACUGAACCAGCCAAGCCGCGUGAGGGAGGAAGGUACAGAGUAUCGUAAACCUCUUUUGUCAGGGAACAAAGACUGGGACGCGUCCCCGGAUGAGUGUACCUGAAGAAAAAGCAUCGGCUAACUCCGUGCCAGCAGCCGCGGUAAUACGGAGGAUGCGAGCGUUAUCCGGAUUUAUUGGGUUUAAAGGGUGCGCAGGCGGUCUGUUAAGUCAGCGGUCAAAGCCCGGGGCUCAACCCCGGCCCGCCGUUGAAACUGGCAGUCUCGAGUUGGAGAGAAGUAUGCGGAAUGCGCGGUGUAGCGGUGAAAUGCAUAGAUAUCGCGCAGAACUCCGAUUGCGAAGGCAGCAUGCCGGCUCCACACUGACGCUGAGGCACGAAAGCGUGGGUAUCGAACAGGAUUAGAUACCCUGGUAGUCCACGCAGUAAACGAUGAAUGCUGGCUGUCCGGGGGGACUGACCCCUGGGUGGCGAAGCGAAAGCGAUAAGCAUUCCACCUGGGGAGUACGCCGGCAACGGUGAAACUCAAAGGAAUUGACGGGGGCCCGCACAAGCGGAGGAACAUGUGGUUUAAUUCGAUGAUACGCGAGGAACCUUACCCGGGCUCAAACGGGGAGUGGCGCAGGCAGAGACGCCUGUUUCCCACGGGACACUCCCCGAGGUGCUGCAUGGUUGUCGUCAGCUCGUGCCGUGAGGUGUCGGCUUAAGUGCCAUAACGAGCGCAACCCCCGCGUGCAGUUGCUAACAGUCAACGCUGAGGACUCUGCACGGACUGCCGGCGCAAGCCGCGAGGAAGGCGGGGAUGACGUCAAAUCAGCACGGCCCUUACGUCCGGGGCGACACACGUGUUACAAUGGGUGGUACAGCGGGAAGCCAGGCGGCGACGCCGAGCGGAACCCGAAAUCCACUCUCAGUUCGGAUCGGAGUCUGCAACCCGACUCCGUGAAGCUGGAUUCGCUAGUAAUCGCGCAUCAGCCAUGGCGCGGUGAAUACGUUCCCGGGCCUUGCACUCACCGCCCGUCA
rnacentral:rRNA from 1 species